rnacentral:rRNA from 1 species
GUAGGGAAUAUUGCGCAAUGGACGAAAGUCUGACGCAGCGACGCCGCGUGAGUGAUGAAGGCCUUAGGGUCGUAAAGCUCUGUUGAAUGGGAAGAAAAAAAUGACGGUACCAUUCGAGGAAGGACCGGCUAACUUCGUGCCAGCAGCCGCGGUAAUACGAGGGGUCCUAGCGUUGUUCGGAAUCAUUGGGCGUAAAGGGUGUGUAGGGGGCCAUGUAAGUCAGGUGUGAAAGCACCGGGCUCAACCCGGGAAGUGCACUUGAUACUGCGUGGCUUGAGUACCGAAGAGGGUAGUGGAAUUCCAGGUGUAGUGGUGAAAUACGUAGAUAUCUGGAGGAACACCGGUGGCGAAGGCGGCUACCUGGUCGAGUACUGACACUGAGACACGAAAGCAUGGGGAUCAAACAGGAUUAGAAACCCGUGUAGUCC